rnacentral:rRNA from 1 species
AAUUCGCCCUUAGAGUUUGAUCAUGGCUCAGGACGAACGCUGGCGGCGUGCUUAACACAUGCAAGUCGAACGGAAAGGCCCUGCUUUUGUGGGGUGCUCGAGUGGCGAACGGGUGAGUAACACGUGAGUAACCUGCCCUUGACUUUGGGAUAACUUCAGGAAACUGGGGCUAAUACCGGAUAGGAGCUCCUGCUGCAUGGUGGGGGUUGGAAAGUUUCGGCGGUUGGGGAUGGACUCGCGGCUUAUCAGCUUGUUGGUGGGGUAGUGGCUUACCAAGGCUUUGACGGGUAGCCGGCCUGAGAGGGUGACCGGCCACAUUGGGACUGAGAUACGGCCCAGACUCCUACGGGAGGCAGCAGUGGGGAAUAUUGCACAAUGGGCGGAAGCCUGAUGCAGCAACGCCGCGUGCGGGAUGACGGCCUUCGGGUUGUAAACCGCUUUCGCCUGUGACGAAGCGUGAGUGACGGUAAUGGU